rnacentral:lncRNA from 1 species
UCUUAUUGAUCCGACCCGAUCCGAUCCAAGAAAGAUAUGGGGCGGGUAAGAAUAUGGAGCUUUUACUUGUGGGGUGGGUAUGGAAAUGGGUGGAUGUGAUGCAUAUCUGACCUAUUGCCAUCCCUUAUUCAGCCAUAUCUAUUAUGGUAUUGUCAUUUAUCGGCCUAUGGGUAUGGGCCUUAUGAAUAUGGGUUUGAUUUUUGAUUGCUAGUAGGAUGAGAUCGUGUGGCCCCAGAUCUAUCAACCCCUCUUUACAUCCAUGGGCUUUUAUUAGGUCUAGUCUUAGGUCCAUCUCCCCUUUCUACUCUUCUUCCACCUUGCUUUCGCUUUGUUAGAUUCUUUUACCUAUAUAACCAU